CAUGUGGUUUAAUAUUUCACUAUAACUGAAGUACAAGUUGUGAAGCUGGGUACUUUGAACCUGGGCUUUAUUUUUUGUUUUUGUUUCUAGUUUAUAAUAUUUGGAAAUUGAAAAAAGAAUAUAUUUGCUACUAGCAAGCUCAUUCCUGAAGAAAGAAGAAACGUCGCCAUUUAUUAGGGCAGCGAAUGCUUCAAAAUUUAUUUAGAAGAGAUUUAAGAACAGAGUCUCUCUCCUGGUCAUUAAAAAUCUCUAACUUUUUUCUCUUCGAGCCUGAAGUCACAUUACCAGUAAUGGUUGUCCUCAACGUAAGACUGAAAUUGAGCCCUGAAUUACAGUGGAAGAGGCCAAAGGCCACCAAAGGAGUCAGCCACCGGGCCGCCCAGACACUGCUAAACCCAGAACGUCUGGAAAAGUUGUUCGGCGCUCUUCUGCUGCAGGAAGAGCGACGUAGAGGACCUUCCUGUGCCUCCUGACAGAACUGACGAGGCACAUGAACAGGCGGACCAGAAGGGAGAAUGGUGGACACAGA